rnacentral:other from 1 species
GAAGUUUGAGAAGCGCGAAGCUGUCUAGGCCAGCGGAGGUCUGGAGAGCAAUGCCGAGUCCCCGAGCAGAGAGAACAUAGGGCUGUGCUGAUUUAAAAACAGAAAAUGCAAAGCUGGACUGAAAAUAUCCUUAGUCUUCCAAGCAAUCUGCUGAAGAGUUCCAAACGUACCUUCGCUUGGUGAGCAGAGAAGCUGCCCUAUUUUCUCCCCUUCUUCCUUCUUUCACACCUGGAACCAGCCAUUUCCUGAAGCCACCACCAUG